AGAGCCACUUUGCGUGUGGCUGGCUUCAGAAGUCAGAACAGGCUGGGGAGGUUCCUAAGAUGACUGCACUGGAGCUUCUGAGCCUACUCUGGCUUAGGAGGCUGGCUGAUUCAUGACUCAUUAAUUGCGCAGUUAGACUCCUUUAAAUUUAAUUUGGCUGAAGUUUUUCUUUUAUCAACGGUCACCUGGCUCCAAGGGCUACCAGUCCAGCAGGUGCAGAUGACAGUGGCCCUAGGCAUAAAGCAUCGGCUGAGCAAGAGACUGCUGAGGACAUUUCAGGUGUGACAUUAUUAGUAACAGGUCGUGGAGCUGCUUCCUCCAAACUACCAUCAUGAAACACAGUUUAAAAACCCAUGCCUGAGGGAAGGCCGAAUUAUCUUUUUCUUUUCUUUGGAAGAGUAAUUUUAUAAAAUCAUUAUUACAUGAAGAGGUGAUCACAGAGUAUGGGUCAGAAAUGUUAAAAUAUAGGAAAAAAAUGUGUCAGUAUCAUAGAGGUGUGUAAGACUGUCUAUUGCUACUAAUAAUAAAAACUGUUAUUCUUCUGGA